rnacentral:rRNA from 1 species
GACGAACGCUGGCGGCGUGCUUAACACAUGCAAGUCGAACGGAAAGGCCCUGCUUUUGUGGGGUGCUCGAGUGGCGAACGGGUGAGUAACACGUGAGUAACCUGCCCUUGACUUUGGGAUAACUUCAGGAAACUGGGGCUAAUACCUGAUAGGAGCUCCUGCUGCAUGGUGGGGGUUGGAAAGUUUCGGCGGUUGGGGAUGGACUCGCGGCUUAUCAGCUUGUUGGUGGGGUAGUGGCUUACCAAGGCUUUGACGGGUAGCCGGCCUGAGAGGGUGACCGGCCACAUUGGGACUGAGAUACGGCCCAGACUACUACGGGAGGCAGCAGUGGGGAAUAUUGCACAAUGGGCGGAAGCCUGAUGCAGCAACGCCGCGUGCGGGAUGACGGCCUUCGGGUUGUAAACCGCUUUCGCCUGUGACGAAGCGUGAGUGACGGUAAUGGGUAAAGAAGCACCGGCUAACUACGUG